rnacentral:rRNA from 1 species
GUGGGGAAUUUUGGACAAUGGGCGCAAGCCUGAUCCAGCCAUGCCGCGUGCAGGAUGAAGGCCUUCGGGUUGUAAACUGCUUUUGUACGGAACGAAAAGACUCUGGUUAAUACCUGGGGUUCAUGACGGUACCGUAAGAAUAAGCACCGGCUAACUACGUGCCAGCAGCCGCGGUAAUACGUAGGGUGCGAGCGUUAAUCGGAAUUACUGGGCGUAAAGCGUGCGCAGGCGGUUAUAUAAGACAGAUGUGAAAUCCCCGGGCUCAACCUGGGAACUGCAUUUGUGACUGUAUGGCUAGAGUACGGCAGAGGGGGAUGGAAUUCCGCGUGUAGCAGUGAAAUGCGUAGAUAUGCGGAGGAACACCGAUGGCGAAGGCAAUCCCCUGGGCCUGUACUGACGCUCAUGCACGAAAGCGUGGGGAGCAAACAGGAUUAGAAACCCCGGUAGUCC